rnacentral:misc_RNA from 1 species
UUAAAUCACUCAAAAGAUAACACAUUCUUUAUUGAACAUGAUUGCACUUAAUAUAUGUACAACUUGAGUAUGAAAUCAUCAAUAUAACUCAGCUUAAAGAAAAAUCAGUCAAUUGAAUUAAUUCUAGCAAACAUCGAAUGCAUUAUAUAUAAAACGUAUGCAUAAAUUAAUACUAUUUAAAAAGAGACUAUUCACAAAGUUUCGAAUCCUAAAACUAAGAAAACAUUUCAAAAUUGUACCCAUCUGUUAAAUCUGUGGAAAUCCCACUUGCACCUCUCAGUCUCCUCCUGCUCUCAUAGUCCUGAUCAUCGGUGGGCAACUCAUAUCGACAAAGAGGACAAGUAUUUCUUAUCCUCAACCAAGGUACAAUACACUCUCCAUGAUAAUAAUGGCAACAAGGCAGCUUAUUUACCAUCUCCCCAUCCACAACCUCAUCCGUGCAAAUAGCACAAACCACAAGUUCCUCCUUUCCCAAGUCUACCAGAGGCAGGUUUUCCACUACUCUUUUUGCAGCGGGUGGCGUUCCCAUCCAAUCAAUGUCAUUAUCCACCAACUGCUCCAAAGGGGUAUCAUAAUCAGCAUCAAACAUAAAAGGAUCCUCAAUCAAAUUGACUUGAUUGUUAAUGGCCAUUAAUAGUCCCCACUCAAUACUCCUUUCCUCAUCUUCCACUGGGGCUGAAAUACUGGAUGAUGAUAGCGAUAAUUCCUCGACGCUAUCAAUCGCCAUAAUCAGAUUUUCACUUUCGUUGGUUGCUUGGUCCAAUUCCUCCCAUUCAAAUUCCUCAUUAGAAUUCACCAAUCCCAUGCGAUCAUCAAUAAAACUAUCCAAAUCAACAAUCUCACCGUCAGAACACGAAUCCGACUCCGAAUCAAUACUGGCAACCCGAAGUCCAUCGGCACGAACUUCAUCCCUACCCAAUUCAACCCCAAACCCAGAUCCUAACUCUUCCAUAUAGCUCGAGAGAGCAUCAAGAUUGUAGCUAUCUUCAAGACUCCACGAAUCCAAAUCAUCCGUGGACUGCAUUGCCACAUCUAGAUCCAAAUCCAACCCGUGAUCACCAAGACUGACCCGUCGGUAUGGCUCGACAGGAUAGCCGCGUUGACUGGAAUCGGAAUUAGAACCAGAAUCGGAACAGGAGUCGCAGCGGAUGCCGGAGACCCACUCAGAACAAGUGACAGAAAACAUGGCGUACCAGGCUUGGAGGGGAUUGUCUUCUCGGGAUUCCGGGACAAGGUUCGUAUUCAGGUCUAGGUUUAGGUCUGGACCGUCUGGUUCAGGAAAGCUAGAAAUAUUAGACGUGACCUAAAAAC